GUGCGCUCCUGUAGCAGGUCUGAACACACAUGCAUAAGUCAGAAGAGUUUAAGAGUGCGCUCCUGUAGCAGGUCUGAACACACAUGCAUAAGUCAGAAGAGUUUAAGAGUGCGCUCCUGUAGCAGGUCUGAACACACAUGCAUAAGCCAGAAGAGUGCAAGAGUGCGCUCCUGUAGCAGGUCUGAACACACAUGCAUAAGUCAGAAGAGUGCGCUCCUGUAGCAGGUCUGAACACACAUGCAUAAGUCAGAAGAGUGCAAGAGUGCGCUCCUGUAGCAGGUUUUAGCCAAGAGUGUGUAAAGGUUGCCUGAAAUCACCUUUGUACAUGGCUAAUGAGAAUAUUAUAUAUGAUUUUGAUAUGUAUGUAUUUUCUCAUGUCAUGUUUGUAAAUUUGUAAUCAGCUGACGGUAAUGAACCUGAGUUACGGGAACAUGUGACUUUGAUUGAGAGGACUUUAAAUAUGAAGGUGGGGGCGUGAGCCCAAGAGAGUUUUUCCGUUUAACUGUAUGGAGUUGGAGAGAAACGUGUGGCGAUUAAAGAGAAACCAAGUGUGGAUUAUACCCUGCCUCAUUGGCUUUGGAUGCCGUCUUUCCAAACGGCGGAUCACUUACCAAAGCAGUUGGAAUAUCCAGAGUAUCGUAUAGGCUCUCUAUCGAGUGAAGUGGUGAGAUUGCGCUACCCAGGCUGUGUGGAGCGGCCUCUCAUCACACUGUAAGACGUUGAAAUCUCUCUCUCUCUGCACCAGACAAUAGUUUUGUUUGAGAAACUACUUUUGUGUUUUCACUGUGGGA
ensembl:lncRNA